rnacentral:rRNA from 1 species
UACGAAGGGGGCUAGCGUUGCUCGGAUUGACUGGGCGUAAAGGGCGCGUAGGCGGUUCGUACAGUCAGACGUGAAAUUCCUGGGCUCAACCUGGGGGCUGCGUUUGAUACGUGCGGACUUGAGUGCGGAAGAGGGUCGUGGAAUUCCCAGUGUAGAGGUGAAAUUCGUAGAUAUUGGGAAGAACACCGGUGGCGAAGGCGGCGACCUGGUCCGAUACUGACGCUGAGGCGCGAAAGCUGGGGGAGCGAACGGG